GAUCGUAUCAUUAAUAGUGACGAUUUUUCAACUUGUCACUGUGAUUACUUUAGCCAUUAUAAUCGUUUUAAUUAAAACAAAUGACCCGGAUGAAAAUAUGUAUGUGGUCCAUAAUAUCAGGAUCUCACCGUUACUUCUCCGGGCUAUUAUCGGAUUAAAAAUAAUGCACUCCUCAUGUUUCUUCUACGGUGUAAAAACUAAAAACUCGUGGUUCGUACUAGCAUACGUGGUUAUUUACAUUAUAGAAACAAUACUGAAGGCUCUUGGUAUUACAUUUUUGGCUUAUACUGUGAAUGUAUGGUACAUUGCAAUGUAUCUUGUAACUGUUCUCGACAUUCUGGUAGUUAUUAUGUUGUUACAAACGCAUGCGAAAAUUAAGAAUUAUAACAACGGAAUCCACGAACUCUGAUGGGAACAUUUUGAAGAAAAAAAACUACCUAUAUUUAAUUUUAGUGCAAUAAAUUAUCAUUAAAUUAGUAACAAUGUUUUU